rnacentral:misc_RNA from 1 species
GUGAAUCAUCGAAUCUUUGAACGCAUAUGGCACCUUUUGGUUCUUACUAAAAGGUAUGCCUGUUUGAGAAUCAUUUUCUAUCAUUUUCCAUUCUUGGAUACAUUUGAUUGUUGGGAUAACUCUCAAUUGAAUGACCAAGAGUUGUGAUUGACAUGGACCUUCAUCACUGAUCGUCUUGAAUUCAUGCACGGGACUGUUCGUGGUAAUACAAAAGGAAAGAGGAUGUGCAUAACUCCCUCUGCUUUGUUUUGUGAUCGAUCAGUCCUGAUUCAUCUCUUAUUAUAUUAGUGAUCUCAAAUC